rnacentral:rRNA from 1 species
AUGCACAUGCAAAGGACGCAUGCAUGGUCCUGCUUUUCUCUUUUUACUGCUCAUGCUAACAAGAAAGUAAAAUGUUGCUACUAUAGGUUGAGUGGUCCGGGAGUACACAUGCAUGACCAGAUGGAAAGGUUGUGGGGCAUGUUCACUGUGCAUCUUGAUGUUGACAUGGACGAUGAAUGCUUCACCGGCUACCAUCUGCGCUCCCCCUCCGUCCCGUCGUCCGCCUUCCCCAUCCGCCAUUUGCCGCUUCCCUUCCUUCCCUUCACAGCGUGUUUGGUCGAGAGAAUUAUAGAUGGGGAAUGGGAGUUGAGGGGUCACAAAUCAAGGAAGAUAUGCAGUGUGAGACAGGCGCACGCUCCAGCAGAAAACCAUGGUUCUCCAAAAAAAAAAUACCACUCCUUCCUUUUUUCCCUGCACACCUUUAUAUAUAACCACACUCGUGUCUGUGUUGUACGAUCAAUGCUCCCUGAGCUGGACCAGGAGAUUUGCAUCUGGAUCAACUCCAUAUUUCCAACCCCGAUGAAGAGGACGAACCUGACAGCCCAAGUGAAGGAGUCUGGUGGUUCCACACAUUUUGCAUGCACAGGCAUAGUUAUUGGCUACACCAAAACGACAGCAAAUCUUCUGGCUUCAUUAAACUUGUUUAGGUCUAGAGAUGGUGACAGAGAGAUCACUGAAAAAAUGGAGGUCGGUGGUUCCAUACAUUUUGCAUGCACAGGCAUAGUUAUUGGCUACACCAAAACGACAGCAAAUCUUCUGGCUUCAUUAAACUUGUUUAGGUCUAGUGAUGGUGGCAGAGAGAUCACUGAAAAAAUGGAGACUAAAGUGCGCCUUCCAAAUAAUAAUGUUGCCAAUGGAUAUUUGCUAUUCCACGAUUUAAGACACAAUCUUGCUGUUGUCCGUGCCUGGCCAAAAGGUGGUGGCCUUCGAACAGCGUGUCUAGAUCAUCAUCAUCAGCAGCAGCUUGAGUCUCACAGUCAAGUCGUUGCUGUCCGGCGCUGCUUCAGCUCAGGAAAGUUAUUGAUGGCCACGACUGCGAUGUUGGCUGGCGAUCCAAUGGGUGCUUAUCGCCAACAGGCUGCUUCUGGAGGAUUCCUCGUCGAUUUUCUUGGGAACUUUGUUGGGUUGAACUAUUGUGACAAAGAAGGGAGUGCUUUCAUACCAAGGAGUACAAUUCUGGAAUCCGUGGCUGGGUUUCCGAAAACAUAUGCUAGAAACUUACCAAAUUCUGCAGCAGGCUUAGGAUUCAGAAAAGAACAGCUGGCCGUCGAAACACUGUCCCAUGGUGGGGGGUCCAACACAGAGCAAUCAAUAUGCCAGCACGGUUCCGGGCUUCCGGCCUCAUAUACCAAGUUUAGAAGUGCCGCAGAUUUAACUAAUUUUAUACUAUAUGGUUGCACCGUCAUUGACUGCUUCACCUUGUGGCACCAGCACUCGGAGGCCGUUUCAAACGUUUUUCCUGUUAUCAUCCUCGUUGGUCGGCUGUCGGUGAUAGCGAGGAAUUUGGUGAAGAUAUCUGGAGUUAACUCGGCAAAGAGGUUGCUUCGGAGAUGUCUCAAAGUGUUGUCGCACUGGCUUCAUUCAGUGGAGAUACAAGGGUUUUUGCUUGCACAGAUUGAAGUGUGCCUUCAAGAUAAUCAACAUGUCACAGGCACGUUGCAGCAUUACGAUUUACAUUACAACAUCUCUGUCAUCAGCAUCAUGGGUUCUUGCUGCACUCGGAGAGUGAAAAUGUAUGAUGAGGUACAAACUGAACCUCAAGGGGAAGUGGUAGCCGUAGGGCGCUUCUACGAAUCAAGCAAAUUAAUGGCUGCAGGUGGGACUUUGAUUGACAAGCCAAGUCUGCUGCCCCGCCGUCGCGUUCGAUGCCGCCCCGGGAGGCAUUUUUUUCGCCUCCUGGGAGGUGGAGGCGGCAUGGCAUGCCCAAGUCUGCUGCCCCGCCGUCGCGUUCGAUGCCGCCCCGGCCACGCAGAGGCGGGCGUGAGCUCCGCCCCGACCACGGGCGCGGGCAAGCUCCGCCACGCACAGGCGGGCGCGGGCACGGCAAGCUCCGCGUCUGCUCUGCUCCGCGCGUCCGCCCUCGAGCGCGGCUCCGCUCCCGCUCUGCCGCGCCGAUCCGGCCGUCCCCGCUCGCGCGCUGCUCCGCCCCGCGCAUCGCCCAGCCGCGCCGGAGAGGCCGUUCCUGACGACGUUGCCGCGCGCGUCGCAGGCCACGUCGGACCACCGUCACGGGCUCGCGUCCGACUUCCUCCACGUCUCCAGCGCGGUCCCGCCCAUGCCAUUCGUGAGCGACCGCGCCCAUCGCAGCAGCGCCUCGCCCUGAUCGUUGAUGGCGUGGGCGCGCGGCGGGACACAACGCCGCGCGAGGAGCAACCAGGCACCGCGCCGGUCGUGUGCUCGCGCGCCUCCGGCGCCGAGCCGCCCGAGCGGAGCACCUCGACGAGCACCGGCACGGCGCCCGCGCGGACGAUGCACGGCGCCCAAGCGGAGCACCUCGACGAGCGUCGUCCGGCCCCGCCUACGCCAUGA